rnacentral:rRNA from 1 species
UACGAAGGGGGCUAGCGUUGCUCGGAAUCACUGGGCGUAAAGCGCACGUAGGCGGAUUGUUAAGUCAGGGGUGAAAUCCUGGAGCUCAACUCCAGAACUGCCUUUGAUACUGGCGAUCUUGAGUCCGGGAGAGGUGAGUGGAACUGCGAGUGUAGAGGUGAAAUUCGUAGAUAUUCGCAAGAACACCAGUGGCGAAGGCGGCUCACUGGCCCGGUACUGACGCUGAGGAGCGGAAAAGCCAGGGGAGCAAAGCGGGG